CUUAUUUUUAUCAGCAGAAUAUGAUGCCGAAGUUUCCGGAAUACAGUUUGGACCACCCUGUAUAUGAAGAUAUAGGUGUGAAUAUGUUAGUGAUUAUUGCUAAGAAGGUGAUUUCUAGCAGUUCUAGGAGCAACCUAAAGGAGGGUAAAAAUUUAAAAAAGGCCCAAAGGAUUUGUAAGGCGCUGGAGUCAAAACGUGUUCACUUCCAGAGGGAUUAGCUAACGCCAUCAAAAGGAUCAAUAGGGUUUGGCAGAAUUGUGUCUUGUUAGUUGCCAUAAUAGGGUAAAAUGAUACCUAUAUACGCUCACCUUCGGUAGCAGUUCUCCACCAGCCACCCGCAGUCCGCAAUCCGCAGUCACUGGGAUACCAGACGGAGCAGAGUUUGAUUUAUUUUAUAUUAUUAUACACUUAUAUUUUAUAAUAAACCGUUUUAUAUAAUACCAAAUUCGAAGCUUUAAUUGGACCGACUUA